rnacentral:rRNA from 1 species
CCCUAGUAACGGCGAGUGAAGAGGGAAGAGCUCAAAUUUGAAAGCUGGUACCUUCGGUAUCCGCGUUGUAACCUCGAGACACGUUUUCCGUGCGGCGCUAUGGACAAGUUCCUUGGAACAGGACAUCGUAGAGGGUGAAAAUCCCGUACUUGCCAUGGAUGUACCGUGCUUUGCGAUACGUGCUCUAAGAGUCGAGUUGUUUGGGAUUGCAGCUCAAAAUGGGUGGUAGACUCCAUCUAAAGCUAAAUAUCGGGGAGAGACCGAUAGCGAACAAGUACCGUGAGGGAAAGAUGAAAAGCACUUUGGAAAGAGAGUUAAAAGUACGUGAAAUUGUCGAAAGGGAAGCGCUUGAAGUCAGCCAUGCCGCUCAGGACUCAGCCUGGCUUUUGCUUGGUGUAUUUCCUGGGUAGCAAGUCAGCAUUGGUUUGGAUCGUCGGAGAAGCAUAGUUGGAAUGUGGCGCCCUCGGGCGUGUUAUAGCCUUCUAUUGGAUACGACGAUCUGGACCAAGGAACGCAGCGCGCCUUAUGGCGGGUCUUCGGACACCUUCGCGCUUAGGAUGCUGGCGUAAUGGCUUUAAGUGGCCCGUCUU